GGGGAAUUUUGGACAAUGGGCGCAAGCCUGAUCCAGCAAUGCCGCGUGCAGGAUGAAGGCCUUCGGGUUGUAAACUGCUUUUGUGCGGAACGAAAAGCCUCUCUCUACUACACGGGGGUGAUGACGGUACCGGAAGAAUAAGCCGCGGCUAACUACUGUCCAGCAGCCGCGGUAAUACGUAGGGUGCAAGCGUUAAUCGGAAUUACUGGGCGUAAAGCGUGCGCAGGCGGUUUUGUAAGACAGUGGUGAAAUCCCCGGGCUCAACCUGGGAACUGCCAUUGUGACUGCAAGGCUGGAGUGCGGCAGAGGGGGAUGGAAUUCCGCGUGUAGCAGUGAAAUGCGUAGAUAUGCGGAGGAACACCGAUGGCGAAGGCAAUCCCCUGGGCCUGCACUGACGCUCAUGCACGAAAGCGUGGGGAGCAAACA
rnacentral:rRNA from 1 species